UGGGGAAUAUUGGACAAUGGGCGCAAGCCUGAUCCAGCAAUGCCGCGUGUGUGAAGAAGGCCUGCGGGUUGUAAAGCACUUUGAGCGGGGAAGAAGGCGCGGGGAUUAAUACUUUCCGCGAUUGACGUUACCCGCAGAACAAGCACCGGCUAACUCCGUGCCAGCAGCCGCGGUAAUACGGAGGGUGCGAGCGUUAAUCGGAAUUACUGGGCGUAAAGCGCGCGCAGGCGGCCUUGCAAGCCCGACGUGAAAGCCCCGGGCUCAACCUGGGAACUGCGCCGGGGACUGUAAGGCUGGAGUGCGGGAGAGGGGUGCGGAAUUUCCGGUGUAGCAGUGAAAUGCGUAGAGAUCGGAAGGAACACCAGCGGCGAAGGCGGCACCCUGGACCGACACUGACGCUGAGGCGCGAAAGCGUGGGGAGCAAACA
rnacentral:rRNA from 1 species